GUCAGGAUGGCCGAGCGGUUUAAGGCGCUGCGUUCAGGUCCUAGUCCACUUUUGGCGUGGGUUCGAAUCCCACUUCUGACA